rnacentral:rRNA from 1 species
GGUUUUAAGAGAAUAAUUUAAGAUUUGAUUUGCUCAAUGAUUUAAUUAAAUAGCUGCAGUAUACUGACUGUACAAAGGUAGCAUAAUCAAUAGUUUUUUAAUUAAAAGCUGGAAUGAAAGAUUUGAUAAGAUAAAUAUUGUCUCAAAUUUAAUAUUAGUUGAAUUUUUUUUUUUGUUAAAAUACAAAAUUGUUUUUAAAAGACGAGAAGACCCUAUAGAAUUUUAUAUUUUAUAUUAAUUUAAUUAGAAUAAUAAAUAAGUGUUAAUAAAAAAAUAUUAGAUUGGGAGAAUUAUUAAAUUAAAAAAAUUUUAAUAUAUUAAAAACCAAUAAUUAUUGAUUAAUUGAAUUUAAAAUUUUAAAUUAAGAGAGUAAUAUUACCUUAGGGAUAACAGCGUAAUUUUUUUGGAGAGACCAUAUUGAUAAAAAAGUUUGCGACCUCGAUGUUGAAUUAAGAUAAAAUUUUAAUGAAGAAAUUAAAAAUUUUUGGUCUGUUCGACCAUUAAAAUCUUACAUGAUCU